UACGUAGGCAGCGAGCGUUGUUCGGAAUUACUGGGCGUAAAGAGUGUGUAGGCGGCGCUCUAAGUUCGGUGUGAAAUCUCUCGGCUUAACUGGGAGGGUGCGCCGGAAACUGGAGUGCUCGAACGUGGGAGAGGAAAGCGGAAUUCCUGGUGUAGCGGUGAAAUGCGUAGAUAUCAGGAGGAACACCUGCGGUGUAGUCGGCUUUCUGGACCAUUGUUGACGCUGAGACACGAAAGCGUGGGUAGCAAACAGG
rnacentral:rRNA from 1 species